AGAAAAGUUAAACCCAUAAAAGCAAAUUGAUAACUUAAAAAUUGUUGGUCGGAUUCUAUUCAGUUCUCAAGGGGUAUUUUAAAAGUAGUUAUUAAGUUUUUUCUUUAAAGUUUUGAAACUUAAUAACCCUUUAAGUUAACCUUGUUAAGAUCAUUAAUUUUACCUUUCAAAGAUCCAAGAACAAUUAUUAAAACCUUUUUGAUCAGAUAACUAAUAAACUAACUAACUAGAUCAUUGAUGCAUAAUUAACUGCAUCAAUGAUUUUUUUUAUUAUUUUUACUGCAAAAAAUGCAGAUUUAUCUGUUCAAACCAAUGAUUUUAAAAGGCUUUUUUUUAUUAUUAAUCAUUGGUUAUUUUUUACUUGUGAUUUUAGCUUUAAUGCUUAUAAAAAAAUCCUAUGAUAAAAUUUUUUUUAGAAAAGUGUUGUGCAAACUGAUUUAUUGUGCUAUAAUCUUUAAGGCUUAUAUAGCUACAUUGUUCUUUGAAAACUGAAUACGACAAAUCUUUCUAGUCCGAAAUUUGAUUAAAGUAUCAAAUCAAAUUUCAUAUAAUAUAGAUUCAAUAAAAAUAGCUAAUGAUCAAAUACAUAAGUUACUAAGGG
rnacentral:misc_RNA from 1 species